UGAUUGUGAUGAGGAUAAUUUCUGAGCAUGCCCUUGAAUCUCUCCCAAGCUUGGUAUAAAUUUUCUUAUAAAUUCUCUCUAUCUUUCUAUCUAAAAAUCAAUAUCUCACUCCUUAAUCG
rnacentral:snoRNA from 1 species